GACGAACGCUGGCGGCGUGCUUAACACAUGCAAGUCGAACGGAAAGGCCCUGUUUUUGUGGGGUUCUGGAGUGGCGAGCGGGUGUGUAACACGUGAGUAUCCUGCCCCUGACUUGGGGAUAACUUCAACAGGAUGGGGCAAAUACCGGAUAGUAGCUCCUGCUGCACGGUGGGGGGUGGAAACUUUCGGCGGUUGGGGAUGGAUUCGCGGCUUAUCAGCUUGUUGGUGGGGUAGUGGCUUACCAAGGCUUUGACGGGUAGCCGGCCUGAGAGGGUGACCGGCCACCUUGGGACUGCGGUACGGACCAGUCUCCUACGGGGGGCAGCCGGGGGGAAUAUUGCGCAAUGGGCGGGAGCGUGAGACAGAAGCGCUGCGUGCGGGAUGACGGCCUUCGGGUUGUAAACCGCUUUCGCCUGUGACGAAGAGUGAGUGACGGUACUGGGUGAAGAAGCACCGGCUAACUACGUG
rnacentral:rRNA from 1 species